rnacentral:rRNA from 1 species
UUAUGAACGCUAGCUACAGGCUUAACACAUGCAAGUCGAGGGGCAUCAGGAAGAAAGCUUGCUUUCUUUGCUGGCGACCGGCGCACGGGUGAGUAACACGUAUCCAACCUGCCCUUUACUCGGGGAUAGCCUUUCGAAAGAAAGAUUAAUACCCGAUGGCAUAAUGAUUCCGCAUGGUUUCAUUAUUAAAGGAUUCCGGUAAAGGAUGGGGAUGCGUUCCAUUAGGUUGUUGGUGAGGUAACGGCUCACCAAGCCUUCGAUGGAUAGGGGUUCUGAGAGGAAGGUCCCCCACAUUGGAACUGAGACACGGUCCAAACUCCUACGGGAGGCAGCAGUGAGGAAUAUUGGUCAAUGGGCGCUAGCCUGAACCAGCCAAGUAGCGUGAAGGAUGAAGGCUCUAUGGGUCGUAAACUUCUUUUAUAUAAGAAUAAAGUGCAGUAUGUAUACUGUUUUGUAUGUAUUAUAUGAAUAAGGAUCGGCUAACUCCGUGCCAGCAGCCGCGGUAAUACGGAGGAUCCGAGCGUUAUCCGGAUUUAUUGGGUUUAAAGGGAGCGUAGGUGGACUGGUAAGUCAGUUGUGAAAGUUUGCGGCUCAACCGUAAAAUUGCAGUUGAUACUGUCAGUCUUGAGUACAGUAGAGGUGGGCGGAAUUCGUGGUGUAGCGGUGAAAUGCUUAGAUAUCACGAAGAACUCCGAUUGCGAAGGCAGCUCACUGGACUGCAACUGACACUGAUGCUCGAAAGUGUGGGUAUCAAACAGGAUUAGAUACCCUGGUAGUCCACACAGUAAACGAUGAAUACUCGCUGUUUGCGAUAUACAGUAAGCGGCCAAGCGAAAGCAUUAAGUAUUCCACCUGGGGAGUACGCCGGCAACGGUGAAACUCAAAGGAAUUGACGGGGGCCCGCACAAGCGGAGGAACAUGUGGUUUAAUUCGAUGAUACGCGAGGAACCUUACCCGGGCUUAAAUUGCAGUGGAAUGAUGUGGAAACAUGUCAGUGAGCAAUCACCGCUGUGAAGGUGCUGCAUGGUUGUCGUCAGCUCGUGCCGUGAGGUGUCGGCUUAAGUGCCAUAACGAGCGCAACCCUUAUCUUUAGUUACUAACAGGUUAUGCUGAGGACUCUAGAGAGACUGCCGUCGUAAGAUGUGAGGAAGGUGGGGAUGACGUCAAAUCAGCACGGCCCUUACGUCCGGGGCUACACACGUGUUACAAUGGGGGGUACAGAAGGCAGCUAGCGGGUGACCGUAUGCUAAUCCCAAAAGCCUCUCUCAGUUCGGAUCGAAGUCUGCAACCCGACUUCGUGAAGCUGGAUUCGCUAGUAAUCGCGCAUCAGCCAUGGCGCGGUGAAUACGUUCCCGGGCCUUGUACACACCGCCCGUCAAGCCAUGGGAGCCGGGGGUACCUGAAGUACGUAACCGCAAGGAUCGUCCUAGGGUAAAACUG